rnacentral:rRNA from 1 species
GCCCGCAAGGGUCACCGGCGAACGGGUGCGUAACACGUGAACAACUUGCCCGAGCGAGGGGGAUAGCCGGCCCAACGGCCGGGUAAUACCGCAUAUGCUCACAGCGUCUUAUGGCGCAGUGAGGAAACCUUCGGGGCGCUCGGAGGGGUUCGCGACCUAUCAGCUAGUUGGUGAGGUAACGGCCCACCAAGGCGACGACGGGUAGCUGGUCUGAGAGGAUGGCCAGCCACAUUGGGACUGCGACACGGCCCAGACUCCUACGGGAGGCAGCAGUGGGGAAUAUUGCGCAAUGGUCGAAAGACUGACGCAGCGACGCCGCGUGGAGGAUGACGCCCUUCGGGGUGUAAACUCCUGUUGCUCGGGACGAACCGUGGAAUUCAUUCCACCUGACGGUACCGAGUGAGGAAGCACCGGCUAACUCUGUGCCAGCAGCCGCGGUAAUACAGAGGGUGCGAGCGUUG